rnacentral:lncRNA from 1 species
GGCAGAGAUCAGGGAGGGCCUGAGCCCAUUAUUAACCCCCAAGCACCCUAUCCCCAGUAAGAUGUGCCGAACACAGCUAACCCUCCUGAAGAGUCCCCAGUUUCAGCCAUUUUUUCAGAGACACAACAGCUAUCAAAUCCCUCGUGUCACCCUGAGCUCUCAUGGAACUGCCAUGAUGGCUGUGGCUGUCCUGGAUGCCCUACACCUGCUUGGACCAAUCACAGGCCUAUACGUGGACCAAUCACAGGAUUGCAGCUGUUGCUGUGUUUCCCCCCAAAUAAGACCUAACCGGAAAAUAAUCAGCCUUGAAAACUGGAGCCCAAGAAUGGCAGCCUCAAUCACCUUGCCUUACCUGCCACUACAGAGCAGCCACUGAGCAAGAGAGUAGUGAUGUGCAGUCUUCUCCAUGACACUGGCCAUCACCAUGAUGCCGACAGAUGGAAUGAGGGUUGUCUCCGGCCUGCACAAGCCUUGGAUCCUGCAUCAGGAUCCAGCCAAGGAUCAUAUGUCCCAUUCAGCUGCCACGUUUCCUGGUCUCCUUCACCUUCACAGUGCUGGCCCUUUUCAGCAAUCCCAGGCACCUGCUCUGGCUGUUUGCUCUUUAACAGAUCCAGUUAGACGCCGGUCAUCCCUUCCUGGUACACAGAUGAUUCAUUCGACGAUCACUCCCCAAUCUGUAACUCUAGCUCCAAUGAUGAUCUCGUCACCACUUCUGAAGUCCUCCCAGCACCCUGCCUGUACGGCAGUGUCCCCUGCCAGCCUCAACAAACAUCUGCUUGCUCCAGUAUCUCCCAGUCUCCCCUGCAGGUGGAUAGAAGCCAUGAGCCUGGGCUGUGGCCAAUGGGGUGUGAGUGACAGAGUGACUUCCAGGUCCUAUCCUUACAAAACUUCCUAGGAUUCUCGGCUCCUGUCAUGUGACCCUAGUGCCACAUGUUCUAGAUGGCAAAGUUAUAGAAAGGAGGAGGUCACCGGACUCUUCAUUGCAGUGAACUUUGAAUGAGGGAAGUGAUGUUCCUUGGGGCAUACAGAGACUUGGGAUCAUCUGUUGCUGCACUGCAUCCUGGCCUGUGCUGACCAACACCACCAGGACAUCAUAUGAUAACUCAGCGGCUGUGGUCAAGGUUGCAUCUGGCACCUUCUCUUCAGAUGUGUUCCCUUCCUGGCCUCACUGUCCCCAAACACCUCAAGGUCUCCAGACUGCUCCUUCCUUCUCACACUGCACCACUGGGGUUCCAGGUCCUCCCCUCCACCUGCCUCCACUCCUGGACCAACACUCUGGCUUCCAAGGUGGUCUCUCCCUCCAGCCUUUAGAAGCUGCCAGAACUUUCUGGAACACAACUUUGACUGUGUCAUUCCUUUUCUUGAAAAUCCUAGGAGGUUCUCCUCCAGCUUGGAAUAAAGUACAAACACUUCAAUACCUGAAUUCAUUAGCUUUUUGUCACUGGGACAAAAUACUUGCCAUAUACAACUCAAAGGAGGAGUAGUUUAUUUGGCUCACAGUUUCUGACUGUUGGUCCAUGGUCAACUGGCUCCAAAGUAGAAACAUCAUGGCGGAAGGGUGUGGAGGAGGACAGCUGCUCACCUCAUGGCAGCCAAGAAGCAGAGAAGGACAGAGCCAGGGAGAGAGGAAGGGGCUGGAAACAGGAUACACUCUUCAAGGGCACACUCUGGUGACCCACUUCCUCUAUUGGGGCCCCACUCAGAACAUUCAGCUGCGCAUUCACCAAUGGAUUAAUCCACUGGGGCCGGGGUCCUCAGGACCCAGUCAACUCCAGGCUCCACCUCCAUUCACUGCAGGGGUUCAGCCCUCAGUGGAUGAGUCUUUGUGGGGCAUGUCAUAUUUAAACCAUAACAGAACCUGAGACCUGCAGGCUCUGGACCCUGCCUUUCCCUCCAGCUGCAUAGCCACUGCUCUGUCCUCUACCUAGCAGGCUGUUCGCUGCUCCCUGUGGGGCUACCAACCUCUAUGUCUCUGUCCCUCUCUGUUUUCCGGAGACCAGGUCCUGACUCAUCACUCCUGGCCUGCCUGGAUGUACUUUUC